UUUUGUAGGAAUUGCAUGAAAUAUUUGGAAUAGAAAUGAAUAUGAAGUCACUUUUUUGGGUUUAUGAAGUAACGAAGAAAACAGAUUGUAUGCAAAAUUAUAAUCCAAAUUCAAGAUGUUAACUCAUUGAUGUAAUACAGUCUUUAACAGAACAUAAUUCCUGGACAUCUGAAAGUUUUUAAUAAAUAGUUGUUAUUUGAUGUAGUUAGAUAGUUAGAUUUAUUUAUUUAUUUUCUGCUGUGAUUGUUUUCCACAGAAAUGUAUUGACUAGUACCUAAAUGGACUAUGUAAUGAACCACUAGAUAAGCUCUUUGUUUCUUCAGUUACUUUGCAUGUGUGUUUUUUAUCUUUCAGCCAGCAUUCUUUGCAGCAUUAAUUCUCAAUAUAGAAA
rnacentral:lncRNA from 1 species